rfam:Ciona savignyi cont_24201, whole genome shotgun sequence.
UCCUCGUUAGUAUAGUGGUGAGUAUCCCCGCCUGUCACGCGGGAGACGGGGUUCGAUUCCCCGACGGGGAG